UACAGAGGUCCCGAGCGUUGUUCGGAUUCACUGGGCGUAAAGGGUGCGUAGGUGGUGAGGUAAGUCGGAUGUGAAAUCUCCGGGCUCAACCCGGAAAUGGCAUUGGAAACUACCUUGCUGGAGGGUUUGAGGGGGGACUGGAAUGCUUGGUGUAGCAGUGAAAUGCGUAGAUAUCAAGCGGAACACCGGUGGCGAAGGCGAGUCCCUGGAAAACACCUGACACUGAGGCACGAAAGCUAGGGGAGCAAACAGG
rnacentral:rRNA from 1 species